rnacentral:rRNA from 1 species
UAUGUGAUCGUCUCUCGCAUAUCAAUAAGCGGAGGAAAAGAAAAUAACAAUGAUUUCCCCUAGUAACGGCGAGUGAAGCGGGCAAAGAGCUCAAAUUUGAAAUCUAAGGGUACCUUCGUGCCCGAAGUUGUAGUUUGAAGAAGGGCACUUUUGUGGCCGUUCCUUGUCUAAUGUUCCUUGGAACAGGACAGUCAUAGAGGGUGAGAAUCCCGUGUGGCGAGGAGUGCGGUUACUUUGUAAAGUGCACUUCGAAGAGUCGAGUUGUUUGGGAAUGCAGCUCUAAGUGGGUGGUAAAUUCCAUCUAAAGCUAAAUAUUGGCGAGAGACCGAUAGCGAACAAGUACCGUGAGGGAAAGAUGAAAAGAACUUUGAAAAGAGAGUUAAACAGUACGUGAAAUUGUCAAAAGGGAAGCGUUUGACACCAGUGUUGUUUUUCUGAAAAUCAAUUAAAGAACUGUCUAUGCUAAGUUGUUUAGACUUUAUCAGCUAUCUGUUUAGUUUUGAGCUUUUCUUUAAUGCACUUUUCAGUUAACAAGUCAACAUCAAUUUCUUUUGCUGUAAAAAAGCUUGAGGAAGGUGGCUUGAGAUUCGUCUUAAGUGUUUAUAGCCUCUUGCCUAUGCAGUCGGAGAGAUUGAGGUCUGCAGCGUAGAUCCUUCGGGGCUAAAUGCAUUUGUGCUAAGUUAUAACAUUUUAUAGACAACUUGUUGACUAUGAUUUGUCUUGUAGCUUACUCGCUUAUGUUAUUUUACCUACGCUUAGGAUGUUGAAGUCAUCGUAUCGCGC